CCGCCAUUAGCUUAACUGGGAGAGUAUUUAGUUUUAUUUAAACUAAAAGUCGAGGUUCGAUACCUUGAUGGCGGUCCA
rnacentral:tRNA from 2 species